rnacentral:rRNA from 1 species
GAUGAACGCUGGCGGCGUGCCUAAUACAUGCAAGUCGAGCGAACGGACGAGAAGCUUGCUUCUCUGAUGUUAGCGGCGGACGGGUGAGUAACACGUGGAUAACCUACCUAUAAGACUGGGAUAACUUCGGGAAACCGGAGCUAAUACCGGAUAAUAUUUUGAACCGCAUGGUUCAAAAGUGAAAGACGGUCUUGCUGUCACUUAUAGAUGGAUCCGCGCUGCAUUAGCUAGUUGGUAAGGUAACGGCUUACCAAGGCAACGAUGCAUAGCCGACCUGAGAGGGUGAUCGGCCACACUGGAACUGAGACACGGUCCAGACUCCUACGGGAGGCAGCAGUAGGGAAUCUUCCGCAAUGGGCGAAAGCCUGACGGAGCAACGCCGCGUGAGUGAUGAAGGUCUUCGGAUCGUAAAACUCUGUUAUUAGGGAAGAACAUAUGUGUAAGUAACUGUGCACAUCUUGACGGUACCUAAUCAGAAAGCCACGGCUAACUACGUGCCAGCAGCCGCGGUAAUACGUAGGUGGCAAGCGUUAUCGGGAAUUAUUGGGCGUAAAGCGCGCGUAGGCGGUUUUUUAGUCUGAUGUGAAAGCCCACGGCUCAACCGUGGAGGGUCAUUGGAAACUGGAAAACUUGAGUGCAGAUUAGGAAAGUGGAAUUCCAUGUGUAGCGGUGAAAUGCGCAGAGAUAUGGAGGAACACCAGUGGCGAAGGCGACUUUCUGGUCUGUAACUGACGCUGAUGUGCGAAAGCGUGGGGAUCAAACAGGAUUAGAUACCCUGGUAGUCCACGCCGUAAACGAUGAGUGCUAAGUGUUAGGGGGUUUCCGCCCCUUAGUGCUGCAGCUAACGCAUUAAGCACUCCGCCUGGGGAGUACGACCGCAAGGUUGAAACUCAAAGGAAUUGACGGGGACCCGCACAAGCGGUGGAGCAUGUGGUUUAAUUCGAAGCAACGCGAAGAACCUUACCAAAUCUUGACAUCCUUUGACAACUCUAGAGAUAGAGCUUUCCCCUUCGGGGGACAAAGUGACAGGUGGUGCAUGGUUGUCGUCAGCUCGUGUCGUGAGAUGUUGGGUUAAGUCCCGCAACGAGCGCAACCCUUAAGCUUAGUUGCCAUCAUUAAGUUGGGCACUCUAAGUUGACUGCCGGUGACAAACCGGAGGAAGGUGGGGAUGACGUCAAAUCAUCAUGCCCCUUAUGAUUUGGGCUACACACGUGCUACAAUGGGCAAUACAAAGGGCAGCGAAACCGUGAGGUCAAGCAAAUCCCAUAAAGUUGUUCUCAGUUCGGAUUGUAGUCUGCAACUCGACUACAUGAAGCUGGAAUCGCUAGUAAUCGUAGAUCAGCAUGCUACGGUGAAUACGUUCCCGGGUCU